UCUGGCGAAGAGUUUGUAAAUAAAAAAACGCAUGGUGAAUCCCCCUAAGCGGCGGGGCGAAUCAGCAGUCAGUUCUGGGAUAAUCGCGGGUUCGUAUGCUGAUGCCGGACUCACCGGGAGGCACCCGGCACCAUGCAUCAUGGUCAUCCCCUUGUAUGAUACCCCUCUCCGGAGGGGUAUUUUUUGGAUA
rnacentral:sRNA from 1 species